rnacentral:rRNA from 1 species
UACAGAGGUGGCAAGCGUUGUUCGGAAUUACUGGGCGUAAAGGGCGCGUAGGCGGUUCGUCAAGUCCUGUGUGAAAUCCCCCGGCUCAACUGGGGAACUGCACAGGAAACUAGCGGGCUUGAGUUCGGGAGAGGGAAGCGGAAUUCCGGGUGUAGCGGUGAAAUGCGUAGAUAUCUGGAGGAACACCGGUGGCGAAGGCGGCAUCCUGGACCAACACUGACACUGAGGAGCGAAAGCCAGGGGAGCAAACGGG